rnacentral:rRNA from 1 species
CGAACGGGUGAGUAAUACAUCGGAACGUGCCCAGUUGUGGGGGAUAGCCCGGCGAAAGCCGGAUUAAUACCGCAUACGACCUACGGGUGAAAGCGGGGGAUCGCAAGACCUCGCGCAAUUGGAGCGGCCGAUGGCAGAUUAGCUUGUUGGUGGGGUAAAAGCCCACCAAGGCGACGAUCUGUAGCUGGUCUGAGAGGACGACCAGCCACACUGGGACUGAGACACGGCCCAG